GCUGGAAUUGAAUGAUGGUUUUGCCGUUCAUUGUUUUGUCUCAAUUAAAGUUUGCCAUUCUUCUAUAAUGUUCUUAUCCCCUGCCACCUGUACGUUUGCUGAGCCUUCACCUAUGCUCUAUCGACACAGACAGAGAGAGAGAGAGCGGGGAGGGCCUCGAUCAUCGUUUUUGUUUUGGUGAUUGCUGAUUGCUACUUCUGAGAGCUUCUAUUUGCUUUGGUGGAGAGAGAGAGAGAGAGAGAGAGAGGUAGAGGCUGUGAAAGGAAAAAAAGGAGUGAUCGAUCUGGAUUUGUUUGAGAAGAGGUAUAGAGAUAGAGAGACACUGUGAAAGGAGAGAUAUUGUCGGAGAAGAGGUUCCGAACGUAGAGGACAGGACAUCGGUUGAUAGCCUGUAAUUUUGAAAGAAGAAGAAGAAGAAGAGUCUGGGUUGCUCCGGGGAAUUUGAAGUUCAGUGAUCGUGUUGGAAGGGAGUGUGAAUUGUGAAGGGAGAAGAGUUUAGUGAUCGUGUUGGAACUUGGAAGAAGAACCGGAUAAUAACUGUUGAAAGGUGGUUGUUUUGAGCAAGAAGCUUGGUUUUCUGUUGUGACUAAACGUUGAGAACUGCUUUGCUUAUUUUCAUCCUGCAGCACUCAGAGCUUUGCAGAAUAAACUUGACCAAGAGUGCCACAAGAUCGAACGCCAAAUUUGAGAUUCCGUUUCAAAAUCUGCAGCAACGUGCGGCACAAAUUCUAGUUUAUAAUCUUCUAAUUCUCAGUUAACUGUUCAUCGGCUUAUGAACAGUACGGCUCGAUCCGCUCUGACAUAGUAAAAUGAUGAUUUUACCCUUUGUCUGUUGGCUUAAUUGCGGUUUGCUGUUUGACUUUGGUAUAAAACUUGCUGAGCUGACGAACGCGAUCCUGUUUCUCUCUCUUCGUUUGAGCUCUGUGUCUCUGUUGUUGGUAGGGUGAAAGAGAGCGAGAGAAUUGUAGAGAAUAGGAGUUUACGGUUGUGAAAUUGCGUUUGUCAGAGGCUUGGGUGUAUGUGAUUAGUGAAACUGUUGCUUAGUGGUACUUCACCAAAGGAGACUCGACUCCAAAGCGGGUUAUCAGAAGUUCUUUAAGUGAUAUAUAUUUUCACACAACAGCUGGCCUUUAAAAGAUUAGGUACUUCCAGUAAGAUAACACCAUUGCAGCUGGAAGGCUCGCUGACCGAAGGGAGCACAUUAAGACUUUGGUUGAUUUUGUGGGUUCUACAGUUUGAGAUCUGGGUAACUCACUGCAAGAGCUUCAAGAUAUUCAUCAGGGAAUUGCAACUUUAAUCACUCUGUUGGAAGAAAAAACAACCAGGAGUUUACGAUUUUCAAGGCAAGUUUUGGAAUUGUGUUGAGGAAAGUAGGAGAGCUGCAGGGAAGGCAGCAUUGAAUCAGCAGGAUCAUCCAUGAAGUCCUUCAACAACAAGGAGAAAACAGACUGGAGUAUGAUGACACUUUUUGUGUAAAAAGAACUGGAGGAAGCAACUUUUUGGACAACCUCCAUAACACUCCCUCACUAGGCUAAUAGACAUCACCACCUACUUUUGGCAAGCAGAUCCGUUAGCUUGUAACUAGAAUAACCUAUUUUUUGGAAGCUGCCCCAGCAGCAACUGUAACUAUGUUAACUUUAAACUAUGAAAGCCAAUUUUUUUGAACA